rfam:Myotis brandtii contig300252, whole genome shotgun sequence.
GGCAGUUCUCGAGUGAUGUACCAGAAUCAGGCUCCCUCCUCUCUGGAUUCAGGGUGCAUCACCUGAGAACCACC